rnacentral:rRNA from 1 species
AAGUGGAGCAAUCCAUGAGUAAAGUGGCGACCGGGUGAGUAACACGUGACUAACCUACCUUCGAGUGGGGGAUAACCUAGGGAAACCGGGGCUAAUACCGCAUAAUGUCUUCGGACCAAAGGAGCAAUUCGCUGGAAGAGGGGGUCGCGGCCGAUUAGCUAGUUGGCGGGGUAACGGCCCACCAAGGCAAUGAUCGGUAGCCGGCCUGAGAGGGCGCACGGCCACACUGGAACUGAAACACGGUCCAGACUCCUACGGGAGGCAGCAGUGGGGAAUUUUGCGCAAUGGGGGAAACCCUGACGCAGCAACGCCGCGUGGAGGAUGAAGCCCUUUGGG